CCGGCCGAAUGUUUUCAAUUUGAUAGAAACAAGUGACUCAAGGAAAGUGUUGACAGUUAUUAAAUUGAGUUUCCAUAUAAUAAGGGCAUAUAAUAGGUGACAAAUGACAGGUCCUGAGAGCUGCAUUUUGAAUAUUUGGAGGAUUUGGGGCACAUAUCUGGUAUUGGAACUUCUCUGAAUUGGAUUAGAACGCCGCGUGGCUCACGCCUGUAAUCCCAGCACUUUGGGAGGCUGAGGUGGGUGGAUCACGAGGUCAGGAGAUCGAGACCAUCCUGGCUAACACAGUGAAACCCCGUCUUUACUAAAAAUACACACUCAAAAAAAAUUAGCCGGGCGUGGUUGCAGGUGCCUGUAGUCCCAGCUACUAGGGAGGCUGAGGCAGGAGAAUGGCGUGAACCUCGGCGGCGGAGCUUGCAGUGAGCAGAGAUCGCGCCACUGCACUCCAGCCUGGGCGACAGAGCGAGACUCCGUCUCCAAAAAAAAGAAAGGGGAAAAAAAAAAAAAAGAAAGCUGUCAAGACCAUCCAGACCUGAAAAUACCUGAUAGGGGGAUGGGAAACAAAAACAUGACUUCUCACAGUAGAUCCUUAAUUGGUGAUCGAAAAUUGGUUUAAAAGUGUCCUAACUAAUCUUUUUUGAAGGGAAAGUCAGAAAUACAUUCAAACUCACAGUGUGUACCUCUGAGAGACAGUGGCUCAUUCAAGUAUCACUUAUCCAUUUGGGUCUUCAUUCAUUCACUCAUUCCCCAAAUCCUAACUGAGUACGUACUAUAAAACAGACACUUGCCAGGUAUUGGGGGAUGGAGGGUCUGAGUAGGGGUAAAGAUUAAUUAGGUAAUAAAAUCCAGAUUUCUUUUAAAAACAAUCAGAAAAUCUCACAAGGCUGGACCCACAUUCUCACACAAUAAUGAUUGCUGGCGCUGAGUCACUGGGGACCUACUAGGUGAAGCAGGAAUCCCUGAGUGCCUACAGCUCCCAUCCCCAAAGCUACAUCAUUACAGCAUUCCUUCAUGUUACCUACCUGUCAUUACCUAUGGACGUCUGAAUUCAUGAAUCUGAGCUCACGAAUUCUCAUUGAGAGAACCUUUCCAAUGAAAUACCCAUCGGAUGCCCUUUGCUGAGAGCCCGGAGUAGAACCAGUGCUAAAUUUCUAAGAGAGAGACAAAUACCUAAAUAACUCUAUUGCAAAAUAAAAGGUAUUAUCAGAAAGGGAAGGAUGAAAUGCUUUGAACAUUUAGGGGACAGGGAAAUUGUUUCUGGAGACUGGUACACAUCAGAAAUGGCUUCCUGGCAGAUGUAGCACCGAAUCUGGGACUUGAAUGAUUACAUUUUUUCCAUCAAUUCAACAAAUAUUUGCUAGAAGCCAGCUAGCCAGAAUGCUUUAUAGAAGAUGCACUCAGAAUUGGCUAGUUAUGAGGGAGCUGUUUGUCAACUGCUAAUUUUCUGUGGUUUGCUCUUCUUCCCUUUCCUUUUACAUUCACAAAUUGGGAAAGUUAAACUUGUAGAUCACUUUGGGGAUUGUCAAAGGGUGGCUUCUGGUAGAUACUGGUUUCUCCAAGCCAGGCAAACCUGCAUUCACUCAGCAUAUAUUUUCAAGUCUGGACUAUGUACCGUCCACUAUGACAGGAGUCAGAAAUACAGUGAUGAGUGCUGGCCCUGUCCCAUGUAAUUUACAGCCUUUUUGGAGAGAGAGGCAGUUUCAGUGACCUCACAAAUACAUGCAGGAGUGUAACUGUGAUGAGUACUGCAAAGGGAAGAGGGCCCUUGUUGCUAAAGGACUUAUAAGAGGAGUUGGCCAUGUCAGAAGGAUCAGGGAAGGCCUUACUGAGGCAUGAGGCUUCCUGGUGUGAAUAGCAGUUAACAGGUGGAGGGAGACCAGGUUCCAGGUGGAGGAAAUAACAUGUGUGUGGGCUCCUUUCCAGAAGAGCUGGAGAGAAGAGAGAUGAAAGGAAGGUGAUGCAGGAUGAAGCUGGAGGAGUAAGAAGGGGUUUGAUGAUAUAGCAGGCCCAGUCAAAGAAUCUUGUCUUUAUCCUAAGAGUCAAGAGAAGUUGCUGAGAAUUUUUAAGCAGGAAAGGGUGAUGAUCAUAUUUAUAUUUUGGAAAGAUCCUCCAACCUGCUCUCUGUGUUAAAACAGUUGAGUUCAUAUAUCUUCUGGCUGCAAUAAUGGGAAUGAACACAAGGCAGGACAGAGUACAUGGGGGGAGGCCGGUUAGCAAGCUAGUGUUGAGUUCAGAAGGAAGAUGAUGUUCUUUUGACUAGGAUGCUGGUGAUGGAGGGCAAUGAAAAAAUCUGAGAGAUAAAUAGGAGCUAAAUCAACAAUAUAAUGGGCUGAACAUGGAGGAGAAAAAAAGAAAAGAGUCAAACAUAUCUUCUAGGUUCCUCUCUGCCAUGCAUAAUUGGAUGGAUGGAAUACCAUUCACUAAAAUGAAUCACCACUUGGCUUUGUUCUAAGACUGCUGUGUACAGUUGUGUGAGUUGUGUACUACACCAGGGCAUCUGGCUAAUUAACAAAGGCAGAAGCUGAAAGUCAGCCCAUUCUCUGCUUGCCAAGACACAUAUCCCCAUGUAGGGUCAUGUCUACCCAGGUGGGAGGGGCAGCUUCUUAUAAUUUGCAAAAAAUAGCUAUCCAUUUGGCUAGAUAAAAAGUUAUACCUUUUAACCAGCAUUGCAGGCAUCCAAGAAGGCCCACAUAGGGUACUACGAGUGGGAGGGAGCACUAAAGGUGGUAAAGCCAGGGCCAGGAUACCUGGAUGGUAGAGACAAGGGCUGAAGAAGGUGAUGAGAAAAUGAGAGAGUGCAAAAAAUAUCAAGCUCAGUUUAUUUAUCCUGCAGUGGCUAUCUCUGGCAUUUCCUGGACUCCUGACCCACAGGGAGGGAUCCUGCCUGUGGCUCACCCUUCCUGUUAUUUUAAUUCUUUUGUUGGAUGCCUUUAAUGAAUGUAGACAUGGACACUCAUACAUCAGAGAGCAGAAGUACUUUAAGAACCAUCUAGCCCUACUCUUUCAUUACACGGAUGAGAACGCUGAGGUCCAGGGAAAUGGAAAGCUUUGCUCUGUCUCCUGCUGGGACAAGAUCCUUAAUCGCCUGAUUCCUCACAUCAUGCUGAUCUUUCCUCUAACAAGAAAUUGACUGAGCUUUCACAGACAACGAGGCAACACCUGAAAGAGCAAAGAUACCAAGUCAGAUUCAUCUGAGUUUGGAUCUCUGCUUGCCAUUCUUUGUUGUGUGAUUUUUGACAAGUUACUUAAUCUCUCCAAGCUUCACUUUCCCCACCUGUAAAAUGAAGAUUAAAAACACCUUGAAGGUGGGCUGUGAGGAUUAACGUAAAGCCUUUGGGAUAGGGUCUGAUAUUCACGAGCCACCAUCUAGACCACAUUCUCUACUUAUGUUGACUUCUCCAGCCCCUGUCUCUUCCCUACCCUUUCUCUAUUCUCAAAGGGUUUGCAGGGAUUCUGCAGAAAAUUUAUUCUUUGGAAAUUCUUUGUGGAACUCAACACAAAUUCAGCAUAUCAAAUAAACGAAAUAUUAAGAAAUGACUCUACCUUUUCCCCUAACCUUUCACUUAGGGUUCUGAUCCCUAAGAUGCAAAUGGCAAUUAACCCUGCACCCCACACUAGCCCUCUACCUCUCCCUAUGAUGACUCUGCACAGAUCUCAGGAAGCUUUAUGUGAAAAUAACACCUUGGAACUAGAAGCAGAAGGAACUAGAGAGGUUUCUGCUGGAAGCAUAAUAUAAAAGCCAGUUUUGAAGAAGGCGGGGGGUGGUGGGGGCUCAGAAAAAUGAGCGAUUACCAGAAGGAACUUUUUUUCUCCCAACAUGAUUUUUGAUGGCUCAUAGUUACUUUCAUUUGUUCCGUGACUUUGAGAGGCUGACAAAUAGCAGCCUCAUUCUGAAUGCCUAUUGUUACUCCUGAGGUUUUAUGUAGAGUAGAAAAGAUUGUUUUGAACGUUUCUCAUGGACAAGUGGAAGCUGUACUCUUGCUACAAAUGAUUCAUGUGGGAGAAAUGAUAUAUAAACAAGAUUGCCUGCUUGGAGAGUGGAUGAGAGGGUGAGUUAUUUCAGAAGGGCUCUUCACUUUCAUGCCAGCAAAUGAUAAAAGCUAGCUCUCAGAAUGGCAGGGGUGCUAUGGAAUGGAGGCUUCAGAAACUUUUUGACUCUUACAUUUUAUAGUCAAUGUCAAAAAAAUGUAUUAUAAAUUUCUGACUAAGUCCAGUUACUUUUUCAUGGUGAUGUAGCAAUAGGUUGAUUCAACCUUGGGCCUUGUCCUGUCAGUGUGUUGAGGCUGAAAGAGCCUGGGUUCUGGAAGCUGAGCCUCUGGGGUAAGGUAGGUGCCUAAGGGGCAAAAUUUCAGGAGGCACCUACUCUCAGGGUCAUACAGGCACAGAGUCAGCACUUGCACAAUCCUGUAAGUGAGUGCCUCCUUAAAUUUUGCCCUCUGGGUCACCCUCUUUUCUCACCCAAAUCCGGGCCCUGGAAUUGAAUUAGAAUCAAGACUCCAUCACUUAUUGGUGGUGCAACUUUAGGGAAUCAGUUAGGAUUAGUCUUGGCUAUAACAGAAAAAAGCCAAGUGAGAGUGGCUUAUUUCUCUAUUACAUAAAAAUCUAGAGCAAUACAGGACAGGGCUGGCAUAAUGUCCCCAUUGCAUAAAGUCAUCAGAUCCUAGUUCCUUCCAGUGCACUUUUCUGCCAUUCCAAGGGUUUUGCCUUCAUGAUUCAAAAUGACACAUCCACAUUCUAGGCAGCAGGAUGGAGGAAGGUGACUAAACCAUGUGACUAUAUUACUGAUUUUUAAAAUAUAACAAAAUUAUAAUUAUAAACAUGUAGAAUAGAUUGUAAAAGCCCAAACAAUACAAAAAUAAAAUAUAUUUUUGGAUUGUUAAAUCACCUAUAAUUGUUAUUUCUAUCAGCCCCACUCCAAAUUCCCAGCCUAAGCAUCUAGUUUAUUGCAACUAUUAAGGACUGAGCCAGUCUUGAUUCCCACAAUUGAAAAUGUUUUCAGAAGGAAUUAUUCUUAUGGAAGCUCAUAAAAUGUUCUUAAACCCAUAGGUUUGAAAAUAAGAAAAUUAUCUAGAGUGGAGUGGUAGACAGCUGAGUUAUCUGCCUGCCCAGCACUCACUUCCCAUUCUGGCAGGCAUACUUCAAUUUUGGUUUGGGGAACAAACUACCAGGUUCCUUUGCUUACAGACUUGGUAGAAAUUGUCAUUUGGGCUACAGAUGGGAAGACGUAGAAAUGUAACUCAAACUAGGACCAUAAUAUCCCUCUCUCUUCGAAUAAUUUGUCUCUUGGAUAUGGUUAAAAAGCAUAGACAUAUGACUGGGGAUCAUUUUCUCUAACAGAGACAUGGAACUCAAACAAAUUCCCUGAGCUGCUUUGGAUCCUGUUCUUUCUGAGGCCUGAUACUUCAGCGUCUUCAAAUCUAAUUUGCAAUGCCCCAUAUCCUUCCAGUACACCUCUUCUAUUUAAGUUACCUAGAGUCCAUUUAUGUUGCUUGCAAUCAAGAACCCUAACUGACAAAAGAAGCUAUUCACUUUUCUACCCAAAUAUUUGAAAUUAUACAGGUUGGUCUCUCCUACCUUGUUAAUUAUACCUGUUUUCUUCUCCAGCUUUUCCCAGGUGAGGCCAUUAAUGCCUCCACCCAUAGGCUUAACCCUGCCCUGUUUCUGAGCCAACUCUAAAGUGAGGAAUAGGACUAAAGAGGUGGUGGGUGAGUUGCAUGCAGGAUACCAAAGGAUAAAUCCUGGGGGCUUCCAGAAGUUCCAGAGGAAUUACCUAGAAGGCAUCAUUCCAAGGAGGAAAGAGGCCAAAGCAUCACAUAGACUUCAUAAAACAAGGGACCUUGCCUAUCUUAUUCCCCACUGUAUCCCCAGUACAAAAAAUUAUGUCUGGCUCAUGUGAGUUCCCUGAGCCAAGCACUCCGCAGCUCCAUCGCAGCGUGGGCCUCUUGGAAAUUCGGUGCUAGUUCUCAAGGCCUCCUACCUGCUGAACCUUAGUCUUCAUUGCUGAAAUAAGAGCUGUCCUGCAAACAGAGUUUGGCGCUCGCUUUCUGGCCUCCGGCUGGUGGAGCAAGGACGUUUCCAGCACAUAAGAUUCCCCACUCUGUUAAAAAAAAAUGUGUUUAUACUUGGUCCCCUCUGAAGGCGGACGACACCCAUACUUUUGUCCCAGCCCAAUUUGCUGGCUGGGAUUUUUCUCAUCCUUUAAAUCCCGGGAAGCAAGGAACCUGCCCUCUGGCGCCAUCUACCGGCACUGUUUUUCGAGUCCAAGGAGCCCCCUGCGGAGUUGGGAUGUGUUUAGUAAUUGAUUGGAUGAAUCCUGCCACUUCGUUAGUAGAUUCUUAUUUUCUUCACGGACUCUUUACUAAUUAGUAAAGAGAUUAUAUAGCAAAUAUAUUAUCUUACUUUAAAGAGACCAGAGUCUCCUAUCUCUCGCUUCCCCCACCCCAUCAGUUGUGGCAUUCCUUCAUCUUUAAUUUCUUCCUUCGAAAAAUAUUUAUUUUGUUAUUGUAUAGAGAUCAGGGCAUGGGCCACACAGCUGCACACCUGAGCAAACAGAGGGGCUGACUGAUUUGCUGUUGUAAUGAAAAACAUUAGUUUUGGGUUCAUUACUGUGAUUCCACAAUGGGCACCAAAUCCCACUUAAGACCCACCGAAGAAGUCUUCAAAGGGACACGGUUUCAGGUCUGUGCCUGGUGAGCGUGCUGCCUCUUCGAAUCUUUGCACAGAAAUAACCUACGGUUGAAGACUCAGACCUGUCAGAUCAAAACCAACCCUGGCCUCCAGACCUUGAAACAAGUCAAAACAGUGAACCUUACUCAUCCGUUUUCAAAAUAUGGCCUGUUUUCUUUACAAAAUGCAGCAAAGCCUCUCAGAUGGGCGCUGGCUGCAAUAUUUGAUAUAUUAGGGAGAAUCCUGACUCCUUCCAGGUUUCUGCCCAUCUGUUUUAAAUCCAAAUGGCUUGGCAGAGGAUGGUUUUUAGUUAUGUAUUUUUUUCAUUUCAAAUGGAAUUUAAAACAGCAGGGGCAGAAAGCCCAGAUAUGGAUGAGAGAGAAAAUAAAAAGGCCCCUGUAAUUCCCCAUUCGCCUUCUACAUGAAGGAAAAAAUAUCGGCAUUUGUUGUAAACCUACUAUGUGUCAAGGUAUCACUAGGGAGUGUGAUGUUGCUGAGCCAUUGGAAUUUUAUAAAAUUUUAAAUGUUUUUCAUUUUCUUCUUCAGAGGUGGUUUGAUUUCAUGAUCAAGAGCUUGAACUUAAAGUCAAAUCCUUCUCCUGCCUCCUGCAGUCAUGGGGCCUUAGCUAUUCUCUGUAAUGACUCUAGGUCUCAGUUUCCUUGCCUGAGAACAGGCCUGUGAUAAUUACCUUGAUGGGCUAUUGUCAGUUUUAAAUAAGGUAGUGCAGAGGCAACUACCACAGGAAUGGUUCUGCCUUAAGAAUGAACUACGUGUGCAUGUGUCUUUAUAGCAGCAUGAUUUAUAGUCCUUUGGGUAUAUACCCAGUAAUGGGAUGGCUGGGUCAAAUGGUAUUUCUGGUUCUAGAUCCCUGAGGAAUCGCCACACUGACUUCCACAAUGGUUCAACUAGUUUACAGUCCCA
rnacentral:lncRNA from 10 species